rnacentral:misc_RNA from 1 species
GAUGAAGAACGUAGCGAAAUGCGAUAAGUAAUGUGAAUUGCAGAAUUCCGUGAAUCAUCGAAUCUUUGAACGCACAUUGCGCCCUCUGGUAUUCCGGGGGGCAUGCCUGUCCGAGCGUCAUUUGCAACCCUCAAGCCCGGCUUGUGUGAUGGGUACCGUCCCCUACGGGACGCGCCCCGAAGGCAAUGGCGGCGUCGCGGUUAUCCGAUCAGCCAAAGUGUAUGGGGCUUUGUCACUCACUUUACGGCCCGGACCGGCGCCAGUCCGAAUCAAUCUUUUUUCUAAAGUUGACCUCGGAUCAGGUAGGGAUACCCGCUGAACUUAAGCAUAUCAAUAAGCGGAGGA